UACGUAGGGGGCAAGCGUUAUCCGGAUUUACUGGGUGUAAAGGGAGCGUAGACGGCAUGGCAAGCCAGAUGUGAAAACCCAGGGCUCAACCUUGGGAUUGCAUUUGGAACUGCCGGGCUGGAGUGCAGGAGAGGUAAGCGGAAUUCCUAGUGUAGCGGUGAAAUGCGUAGAUAUUAGGAGGAACACCAGUGGCGAAGGCGGCUUACUGGACUGUAACUGACGUUGAGGCUCGAAAGCGUGGGGAGCAAACAGG
rnacentral:rRNA from 1 species